AGCUUUGCGCAGUGGCAGUAUCAUAGCCAAUGAGGUUUAUCCGAGGCGCUAUUAUUGCUAAUUGAAAACUUUUCUCAAAUAGGUACAUGAAGCCAGAGCUAGACAAGUAUAAUAAUAGAAAGUAUUCUUUGUAGGGGAUGAGAUAGUA